rnacentral:rRNA from 1 species
GACGAACGCUGGCGGCGUGCUUAACACAUGCAAGUCGAACGGAAAGGCCCUGCUUUUGUGGGGUGCUCGAGUGGCGAACGGGUGAGUAACACGUGAGUAACCUGCCCUUGACUUUGGGAUAACUUCAGGAAACUGGGGCUAAUACCGGAUAGGAGCUCCUGCUGCAUGGUGGGGGUUGGAAAGUUUCGGCGGUUGGGGAUGGACUCGCGGCUUAUCAGCUUGUUGGUGGGGUAGUGGCUUACCAAGGCUUUGACGGGUAGCCGGCCUGAGAGGGUGACCGGCCAAAUUGGGACUGGGAUACGGCCCAGACUCCUACGGGAGGCAGCAGUGGGGAAUAUUGAAAAAGGGGCGGAAGCCUGAUGCAGCAACGCCGGGUGGGGGAUGACGGCCUUGGGGUUUUAAACCGCUUUCGCCUGGGACGAAGCGGGGGGGACGGUAAUGGGUAAAGAAGCACCGGCUAACUACGU